CCUAUCAGCCGCCCCAAAAAAAACCCCACCACGCAUGAUACGCCACACCACCCCGCACGAUACGCCGCUCCUGUCGACAUUAGUAAUAGGGUUAUACGUCCACGCCGCCGCCGUCACCGCGGAUCCCCAGUGACGCUGCCGACGCCGUUGCCUGUCCCCAGGCCACUGCCACUUCCGCCAAUCCCCAGGACGCCGCCGCCGCCGAUCCCCAUGACACCGAUGCUGACGCGGAUCCGUACACGCUGCCGCCGUUGCAGAUCCCCACACGCCGAUGCCGUCCAAUAGCAUCGCCCGCUGGACCUAACCACGGAGCUGGAGGAGCGCGCUGGAUGAGGGUUCCCCGCCUCUGCCGCCGCCAUCGACGGCACCAUCGCGGAACCUCAGGCAGGUCAGGACUCCAUGCAGGUCGUGCUUGUGUGGAGUCGCCGCACUCCGCACGCCGCUACCGCCGCAGAUCCCUGGGGCCGCCACGGCCGCUAAUCCCCGCGGACGAAGCCAUUCCACGAACGGCCGCUGCAGGCACCACAACAGCAGCUCGUUACCGAAAUAUCAGGGGCGUAGAUGAUGUACAGGAUCAUCUCGUCCAUGCCAUGGAACAAAGCCACCUGCUUGACGAGCUCCAAAUAGAGGUAAGGCUUGAUGCCCCGCUGGAUCGACUAUUUUUACAAUAUUGUUGACUUUCUAAUGACUGUAGCCCAUUUUUUCUUCAUUGUUCUUUGGUCUUUUUUGGGAGAUUCAACAAAUUUCUUCCAAAUUAUCACAAAUGAAGAUGUUUAUCUGAACCAUUAUGUAAAAGAAUUGGAAUCACUGACAUAUUACAUUCUGCCACAAUUGCAUGAACGAGUGAGUGCUGAGUAGCGAAGCCGAUUUUUGCCAGUUCAGAUGUCUAGCACCAUAAUAAUAAGACUACUAAAACCAAUAAUGGUACUAUAUGUCUUACAAAUUAAUUUACCCUUACAAUGGAUUGAGGCAGUAGAUUACAGAGGCCUGCAUCAUGAUGGCCCUUUUUUAUGUCAGUUGUCUUGGGCGAGUUAAAGGUAACCGCAUCUUUCUUACAAUUGUUUUGGAUUAAUAUUUUCCCUGUCUGAGCCAACCAAAAGAUACUUUCAUGCAGCUAUUUCUAAUUUAAUUUAAACCAAGAUGACUUUCACCAGUCCCUUUUUUAGUUUUCAUGCAUUUAUCAAGGAAGCUACUUUGUUACUUGGAAUGAUAAAAUAGCUACAAUGUAGAUAUGCUGGUUUUGUGUUUGAAUCAGUGUGUUCUGUUAUGAUGAAUGCCUCUUUUAUUUGCCAAGCUCUGAUGGCUUACCAAGAUGUGCCUUUUUUCAUUGACUAAGUAAUUAAAUUAAGAAUUUGAAAAAAGUGAAGGUGAGGUAGAGACUAUUGGUCCUGUCAAGAAAUAAUGUUUGUGUUGUUUUAGUCCAGUCAAUGUAUUGUUUCUCUAUCUCGUGAACUGAGAGGUCCUUCGUUCAGGUAUUAUGGAAGCUCAACCAGGUGCUUUCAGAGUCGACUGAUUAGAAGCUAGACACUUGUUCUUUUUAUUUCAUAAUUUACUUUGUUGUGAUCCCAACAAUUUGUUUUUAUUUCAAAAUUGGUACUAAUCUUGGCAUAGCAAACUUGUAUGCUGCUAAGACCAUAAUUUGAAGUGAGAUUGUGCUCAAUCAACCAUUAUUUGGCUCCGCUGAACGUAAUAGCAGGGUGUAACUCUUCUAUUCUUGCAACAGUUAGUCCUAAAGGACCUUUGGUCCUUUAAAUAUGUUGAAAUAUUAAUACAAAUGUAGCAUCAAUGGCAUUAAAAUGGAAUAUGAAAUUGGCAGUUCGAUAUUGGUGUUUGGUAGAUAGGUUUCUCAUCUGUGAUAUUUUCGCAUAUGAUUUGCUGCUUUAUAAACUUGUAUAACUAUGCACUGCUGUGUAAUAUAGAUAACAAUUAUGUAUUGAUAUUCUAUCAUGGCCUGCUUGAUGUUGUUAUGAAAGUCGUUUCUGGUGCAUAUGAAAGAAAGUUCCUAAAUAUCAUGAUUGCACCGAACAACAAAGUGCAUUUCUAUAGAAUCUGUUGGUUUAUUUUUUUAUAGAAUCUUCCCUUACUCACAUGUUAUUACCAGGAUAUCUAUUAUACUACCAUCUUCAUAUGUAGCUGUGGAAAUAAAAUCAGAGAAUGAUGUGAUGUAGCUGCUUUACUCCUUAUUUCUUACUCCCUCCGUUCCUAAAUAUAAGUCUUUUUAGAGGUUUCAAAUGGACUACAUCAUAUGGAUGUAUAUAGACAUAUUUUAGAGUGUAGAUUCACUCAUAUUGCUCUGUAUGUAGUUCCUUGUUGAAAUGUCUAAAAAGACUUAUAUUUAGGAACGGAGGGAGUAUUUGGAACUCAUUUCUUCAUGCGAACACCAGGGUUUGUUCAGUGGCAACAUGUGGUGAGAUAGACAAGAACACAGCUUGGCAUUGGGCAAAGGAGAAUAAUGCACAUGUGAUAUUAUCUACAUCGAUUCCCUUAUUACCAUGGUUGUAUUCUGCUAACUUGCCAUCUACUUACUAGAAUUGGUCACAAAUGAUAGUGCGGUUUGAAGGUAAAAUAUUUGUGUUUUUCAUUCUUUCAUUGAAUAGUCAGAUCGAUCCUUAAUAAAGCAUGUUGCAUCUAAUGUCACCAUUAUAGAGAUUUGAUCUAUUCACUUUCUCGUGCUUACACAUUAAUAUUAGAGCCUGUUGCUAGUAAGGCAAGGUAUUAUUGCACAUUGAUUAUUGAUUAUUUUCUGUUUCAAAUUCUAGACCACAUCCUUUAUCUCUACCGUGAGCAAGGAGUCUGAUACCAACUGCUAAUUAAGUUUUGUCUUUUUUUUUUCACUCAGUUGCAUUCAGUGUGUAAUACAUUUACAUUGGUUUCAAAUAGUACAACUGCGGACAUAUCCACCUAUGCAGAACACCCAACUAUUUCAUCCGGUGAACUGCGUAGAUCUUCUAUGUGCAUCUCCGUCAUGUUUAACUACAACAUGCUUAUGUGAUCUUAUCAUGAAGUCAUUUUUCAGUUUGUGUGCAACGUAACUACAUGUAAAUUUGUAAUACACCAACUUUUUUCUUCCUUUUUGUUUUUCGAUUGACUCAAUUUACCAUCUCAAAUGUCAUUCCCUUUAUAGCUAGCACAUCAUCUCCAAAGAAUUUAUUUAAGUUGAAAUCCAGUAAUUAAAUGUUGAUCGCAUAAGCAGGCUGAUGGUAUAUUGGUUGAAUUUUUUUAUUCCUACUGUAUUGAACUAAAACUGUUCUUUCCUGAAUAUAUUGGAUCGCAAAGAACUAAAUCUAUCUACAAUGUCUUUGGGCAUAUUCUGAAUUUGCAGAGUUAGCACAAACCUGAAAGCGUAUAUGCAGCUCCCAGAUGUUGCAGGCAAAAGGAAGGGCACAUACGUCAUGCGAUACCAUGUAUCUGGUAGUGGUUUCGUCCCCAGACGCUAUGCAUUCAUUGUCUGGUUUGUAUGUAUUUGUGAUUUUCCAACUAAUAUAGUGUUAGCUCUAUGUUAACCUUCUUUUAGGUACUUCCCAGGAUUUUCUUUGUAGGAAACCCCAAAAAUAUAAAUAGGUGUAUUUUCCCAUGAAGAUGCUAAAUUUUGUUGGUCUUAUUUAUGGGAUAGCAAAACCAUUUUUGUGUGCACUUAAUUGUCAGGUUGGACGCACCGGGUGUUGGGAGUUUUGAGCAGAUUAACACCAAUACUGCUUCUAUAUCCACCUCUACUAUUAUUGCUUCUAUAUUUCCUUAUUGCAUGUCUUUGUUUCCGGUAGGCCACGCCACCCUUUUCUACUAAGUUAUAUACAUCCAAUAUGUUGGUGUUGUGACCUGUAUGUAGACGAAAUAUCUUAGGUUUGUAUGAAUAAUUUGUAUGUGAUUUCAUACAGUAUCUUGUUGACGCUAUGAGCAUCGAUUGUCAUAUAAGAUGAAGGAGCUUCUAGCGCCAGUUCCGAUCAGUGAUUAUAUGAAGGCAACAAUAAAAUAUUUGAAGCAACAGUGGGGCACAAGGUUGGUGCCAGUAAUCUAUAGAGGUCUGAAGGAAAGACGACAUGAUUAUUUGAGUUGGUUGAGAAUCACCCAUGUCAUAGCUACAUCAGUUAAUCUUGGAUUUGCCCUGGUGGCACUUUGAUCGCACCACACCAAAAGGUCUAGAAGAUCAAGAUAUAUGCACACAAAUGAUUAUUUUGCUAAUUAAAUUGGUCAGUGUAAUACUCAUACAACUACCAUCAUAAGACACUGCCAUCUCAUCUAUGCAGGUAGGCUUACUAUUUUUCACUGUGUUUUUGUGUUUGUUUCCUGUGUUUACUACCAUCUCAUCUAUGUAGGCAGGCUUACUGUUUUUCAAUUUUUUUCGGCUUUGUUUCUUGUGUUUAUUGCCAUUUUCCCAUUCCCUCGAGAUACUUUAGCUGUCGCUACUCUUUUCAUUUAUGUAAAAUACAUUUUCUUUAAAAACUUGAUUAUUUGAACUUCUAGACCAUCUACCUUUUUUGGGACACUGCAGGACAUGGUUGAUUAUCAGGUGAGUGAAUUCUGGCGAGAAUGAAUCAAGUAAGUUUUCAUAGUUGGUCUAUUCAAAAUGGAUGAAAGGGACCAGUUACUGUGGAUAUAAGUUUGCACUCUGUCUUCCUGCUCACUCAACCAAUGUGUUCAUGGGAGACUUAUUUUAGGGAAACAUAAAAACAAUUAUUUUUUCUAUGCGUAGUAUUAAAUAUGCUCUUAAAUUUUAGAAUAUUAUUUUUUUGCCAGAUUUUAAAUGUUAGGCUUCAAUAAAUCUGAAAUUUCUAUA